UGUUCCGUGGCGGAGUUGGCUAACGCGCCCAAUCUAGCGAACUAAGGGAGACGUGGGUUCAAAUCCCUUCAGAACUA
rnacentral:tRNA from 1 species